UCAUGUGGUCUCUUGCCACCCUCUUGAAAUGGUGAGUCCCAACAAUUCUAAUGUAAAACUCAGUGAAUUACAUUUCUCCAUACCUCUGUUCACUUUGGCAUGAAGCAGAAACAUCACAACUUGAUUUACAGUAUAAACCCAUUUUUAAAACCAGCCGUUAGAGAGUCCCCAACAAAGAAGUAAAAAUACAAGAAAAACGUGACUUAGAAUAAGUCUUAAGCUCAGUUCUAGUUAAGAUAAAACUACAGUAAAGCAGUCUGAGUUAUGCCCGCACGCUCCCCAACCCCCAAAACAAGUUGGUACUAUGAGAUUUAUUCUCUCACUGAUUUAACGUGGGAUAACAUGAGACUAUAGUUUUGAGAAAUGCAGCUUCACACGCUGAAGCACCUUCACUACAAAUGAACGUCUGUUCUCUGAUGUUGUUGUGGGUCUGAUUGUGGUUCCUGAUGUGCUCUGUGUUACAGUGAUAAAGGGUCAGGAUGGCUGGGGAGUGACUUACAGUCCUACUAAGAUCUGUGCCUUAAAAGGAUCGACUGUGAACAUACGCUGCAGCUACACAUACCCAUCCAGAUGGAAAGGCAGUGAUACUAGAGUUGAGAAAACAUUCUGGUUUACCAAAUGGAAAGAUGGUCAACCUGUGGAUCUGAUGACAGACUCAGAGUAUUCAGGACGUGUGAAUAACAGUUGUAAUGAGAAGAUCUGCACUCUGAGAAUAACAAACCUGACAGAGAGCGACUCAGCUGAGUACAAGUUCAGGUUUAUAACAAACCAACCAGAUGGGAAAUAUGCUGGUGAACCUGGAGUCACUGUGUCUGUCACAGGUCUCACAGUGCAGAUGAAGGGAUCGUCUUCUAAUUGGCUGGAGUGUCACAGCAGUUGUCUUCUACCUGAUCAUCCUUCAUACAUCUGGUACAAGAACGGACAAGAAGUUCAGGCAGAAACAUCUUCUUCUUAUUCAGGCUUCAGUUAUGAAGACAACUACUUCUGUGCUGUAAAAGGAUAUGAGAACUUCCCGUCUCCUCUAGUGUGUGAGUUUACUGUCCCAAAACUGCAUAAAACUCCUAAAAUCUCUGUGAAUUACGACUGUGAAUGUGAAUCAAGUAGAGCUGAAGGAAAUAUAGUUAUGAUCAGUAAAUCUUUUAUUGAAGCUGAUUUAAGCUGUUUAUUAUCUUUAAAGAGGACCGUCACUCAUCCAUUUAUCAGACAACCUUCAAAGUCUCACAGUUUACUGUAUAACUCAAAUACCAUAUGAGUGACACACCCUUAACCUAGAAUAAUCUCUGUUUUUUUUCUAUUUUGUUUUUAUUUUUUCUCUUUUUUUACUGCAAAAUAACCCAGAUAUUUACCUCAAAAUGUAUCAAAAAUUACGUUCUAAACAUUAUUUA